GAAACUUUUGAAUUACACAAAACAGUUGUUGUUACUCACCAAUCUGAGAAGAAGGAGAUAAUGGAUAAAGAGGACACUACAUUCGCCUUGUAGUACGACGAAACCCGUCUGAUCCAUUAAGCAAGAAAGAUGAAGCGUGAUCAUGGAAUGAUGGAAAUGGAAAGAUAAGAUACUUGCCUCAUAUAUGAUUCAAAAUUGCCAGUAAAAAGAUGAUUAAUGGCCCUUUCAGCGGGAGCAGUUUCUCGUGAAAUAAUUCGGAAAAUAACUCCUGAGAUUAUGGGCUGACAUAACAGACCAUCAAAUUCGAAAAAUAUUCUGGAUCGCCCGCUCAAUUUCGGAUCCUCUGGUAAUUAAAGCUGGAAGCAGUUGCAAUUUGAACUGGGUCAGUACCCGUUAUCUUGUGGAUGAUCCAAGCAGCUUGUUUAUUUACGUGUAGCACCCUGGGCAGUAUACAAAGAAAAUAAAAUGAAGGGCAGAAAAGGUCAUUUGGCAUAUCCUUUGUAUUCACAAAUUAGGAUUAUAUAGAUA
rnacentral:lncRNA from 1 species